GAUGAACGCUGGCGGCGUGCCUAAUACAUGCAAGUCGAGCGAACAGACGAGGAGCUUGCUCCUCUGACGUUAGCGGCGGACGGGUGAGUAACACGUGGAUAACCUACCUAUAAGACUGGGAUAACUUCGGGAAACCGGAGCUAAUACCGGAUAAUAUAUUGAACCGCAUGGUUCAAUAGUGAAAGACGGUUUUGCUGUCACUUAUAGAUGGAUCCGCGCCGCAUUAGCUAGUUGGUAAGGUAACGGCUUACCAAGGCAGCGAUGCGUAGCCGACCUGAGAGGGUGAUCGGCCACACUGGAACUGAGACACGGUCCAGACUCCUACGGGAGGCAGCAGUAGGGAAUCUUCCGCAAUGGGCGAAAGCCUGACGGAGCAACGCCGCGUGAGUGAUGAAGGUCUUCGGAUCGUAAAACUCUGUUAUUAGGGAAGAACGAAUGUGUAAGUAACUAUGCACGUCUUGACGGUACCUAAUCAGAAAGCCACGGCUAACUACGUG
rnacentral:rRNA from 1 species